AUCAUGCGCAAUAAGAACUUCUCUCUGUUUUUUUCUUUUCUUUUCUUUUUUUGAAACUCCACGUGAUCAAAUUGUGAAACUGCGUGCGCGGCAAUAAUUAACCAUGGAAAAAAAUGAAGGCGUCAUCUCUCUCCUAUCGUCAGAUCACGGUGGUAGAUGCCCUAACUAUGGUAGAAAUCAAUUAUUUCAAUUGAGAAGAGCUGCACACCGUUUUUUGGUUUUAGUCCUAAUUCUAGUUUUUAAUCUAUUUUUUAUAAUCUUUUUGGGAUUUUAGUUCAAUUUCAAAAACUUGUGUUGGAAAUUUUUAGAUUUUAGUCAAAUGCUUAUCAAUACCCACAGUCCCUCCUCAUUUUUAGUGCAGUGGCGAAGGAAGGAAGCAGUCAUAGUCGUUAUUUUGUGUCAAAUUUUCUGAUGAAUUUUAUGUUGGUAUAGAUUUAGGAUUGAUUAGAGGUAUACUUUUCCAACAUAUCCACACUGGACCGGGAUCCUCGAUCUCCAUUUCCGGCUCCUGGGAGACAGGGAAUGAGAUGGGGUUUGGACCUUUUUUUUUUUUUUUCCUAAGAGAAUACAUCUAUAUGCUUUAGGAUGCAUGUGAUAGUGUUAUUUCCACACUUUUUAUGCAUAGCUCUGUAGAGAUGAACACAUUGUGUAUCUUUCUCUCCAUGCUUCCUCUAUUAUUUUCCUAUUUUAUAUUUUUCGUAUAUUCUAACAUUAACCAUCCAGUUAUUUAAACCAUAAUUUUGCUACAGUGAAAAGCAAACCCAUCAUCGUUGUCUUCCAUGGAGCCACAGUCACCGCAAGCCAAUCGUCUUCCAUGAGAGCUAUCUUUAUUUAUGUAAUCCUAAGUGCCAUUUAAAGUGAUGAACGUAGGUGUUCAUCACGGAACCAUACGUAAUUCUCAUAUUUGUUGAUAUUGCUCAGUGCACCGAGUCUCUCACAGGAAUAUUGCAGGAGUUUUCAAGAGAGAGAGAUGGCUGAGGCAGACAUUUCCAAAAAGUCGGCCGCCGUGGACUCCCACCAGAGGCACCGGGAGUGCAUGAGCUCAGCCAAUGAAGGGUAGGAAAGCAGAUGAGUCUUCAAGGAAAGACAGCUCUUGUCACGGGCGGAACAAAAGGAUAGCUCUCUUUGCCUUCUCUUGCUAUCUUCAAAGUAAUUUGUCAUAGAGAUCUAUAAAAGUCAUCAAUCCUAAUAUUCUCUAUUUAUGAAUUGAUUCAUGUGUGUUAUUAAAUUUUAAUUUUAAUUCAAAAUCAAUGAUAAGAUGAAAAAUGUGCAUAACAAAUAAGAUUUAAUUACCAUAAACUAGGGGAUCCAAAUUCAUCCGCACCAAGGGGUCUCAAGGCGAGCUAAUUACACUAACAACGACAUCAGUUCAGAUAUUAGCCUAUAAGAGCAUUUUCAACCUCUUAUCUAAAGCUUUUAUGAGCCAAAAUCAACCCCAACAUAUUAUCUAUUGGAAUAUACAUAAAAUAUUAUAUAUUUUUCGUAUUUACUCUAUACCCUAUAAAUAAGAACCUUUGUAUUAUAGACCUUUGACAUGCAUGCUACUUCUCCAUU
rnacentral:lncRNA from 1 species